rnacentral:rRNA from 1 species
UGUUGAUUCAUUUAGACAGCAGGACGGUGGCCAUGGAAGUCGGAACCCGCUAAGGAGUGUGUAACAACUCACCUGCCGAAUGGAUUAGCCCUGAAAAUGGAUGGCGCUUCAGCGAUCUACUUAUACUGUGCCAUCUUGGUUGAAAUAAAUCAGGAUGAGUAGGAGGGCGUGGAGGUUAUGUGUUGAAGCGUUUGGUGUGAACCUGCGUGGAACGGCCUCUAGUGCAGAUCUUGGUGGUAGUAGCAAGUAUUCAAAUGGGAACUUUGAAGACUGAAGUGGAGAAAGGU